AAAUGUGAAGGAAGCCAACGUUCGAGACUUUAGAGUCAGCUAGAAAUAGUUGAUUUCUAUAAGGAACACAAAGCGAAAGAUUGAUACCAAGUGGAAGUUUCUAAAAAUGUCACAGUCCACUCAGUCCUGAACUAGAUAAACACGAUGUGAGAAGAAAUUUCCUUUACCUGAAAACAGAAAUUGACGCCAGAAAGCUGGCCGACUACAUGUUUCAAGGCGACGCCUUCUCGUAUGACGAAAGAAAAAUGGUUAGUCAGGCCUCAACAAAGGCAUUAGCCAACGAGCUUUUCUUCAAUUUGCUUAUGGACAACGGAACUGAGAAAGCGUUUGAAGAAUGUAAAAAAGCUUUGGAAAAAGAAUAUCCUCAUGUCGCCAAGGCAUUGGCUGACGACAUUUUAAAAUGUGUAAGUUCCAAAGAUUUAAAAAGAAGAUAGGCUUCUAAACUAGUUUCAGACGCGUCAUUCAGCCAGCCUUUAAUUUGUUUGUAUUGCGACACGGAUGAGAUUUUGUGACCAGUAUUUCUUGCUAGAAUUCCCGACUUACCAGAAGCACUCUCAAGACUUUCCUUAAUUUGAAAUAAAAAAAAA
rnacentral:sRNA from 1 species